rnacentral:rRNA from 1 species
UACAGAGGUCUCAAGCGUUGUUCGGAUUCAUUGGGCGUAAAGGGUGCGUAGGUGGUGCGGUAAGUCAGGUGUGAAAUCCCGGGGCUCAACCCCGGAACUGCACUUGAUACUGCCGUGCUCGAGGACUGGAGAGGAGAUCGGAAUUCAUGGUGUAGCAGUGAAAUGCGUAGAUAUCAUGAGGAAGACCAGUGGCGAAGGCGGAUCUCUGGACAGUUCCUGACACUGAGGCACGAAGGCCAGGGGAGCAAACGGG